rnacentral:tRNA from 1 species
AAUUAUUACUUUGGCAGAUUAGUGCAAUAAAUUUAGAAUUUAUAAAUGUGAGUUUUUACAAGUAAUA